UACAGAGGUGCCAAGCGUUAGGCGGAAUCACUGGGCUUAAAGCGCGUGUAGGCGGGUCGUUAAGUGUCCGAGUGAAAUCCCACGGCUCAACCGUGGAACUGCCGGCAUACUGGCGAUCUUGAGGCAUUCAGGGCGAGCGGAACAAUGGUGGAGCGGUGAAAUGCGUAGAUAUCGAAGAGGAACACCGGUGGCGAAGGCGGCAUCCUGGACCGGCAUUGACGCUGAGGCGCGAAAGCUAGGGGAGCAAACGGG
rnacentral:rRNA from 1 species